ensembl:misc_RNA Metazoa_SRP Metazoan signal recognition particle RNA
GCCGGGCAUGGUGGCUCAUGCCUGUAGUCCCAGCUACUCGGGAGGCUGAGGCAGAAGAAUCGCUUGAACCCAGGAGAUGGAGGUUGCAGUGAGCCAAGAUCGUGCCACUGCACUCCAGCCUGGGUGACAGAGUGAGACUCUGUCUCAA